GACGAACGCUGGCGGCGUGCUUAACACAUGCCAGUCGAACGGAAAGGCCCUGCUUUUGUGGGGUGCUCGAGUGGCGAACGGGUGAGUAACACGUGAGUAACCUGCCCUUGACUUUGGGAUAACUUCAGGAAACUGGGGCUAAUACCGGAUAGGAGCUCCUGCUGCAUGGGGGGGGUUGGAAAGUUUCGGCGGUUGGGGAUGGACUCGCGGCUUAUCAGCUUGUUGGUGGGGUAGUGGCUUACAAGGGCUUUGACGGGUAGCCGGCCUGAGAGGGUGACCGGCCACAUUGGGACUGAGAUACGGCCCAGACUCCUACGGGAGGCAGCAGUGGGGAAUAUUGCACAAUGGGCGGAAGCCUGAUGCAGCAACGCCGCGUGCGGGAUGACGGCCUUCGGGUUGUAAACCGCUUUCGCCUGUGACGAAGCGUGAGUGACGGUAAUGGGUAAAGAAGCACCGGCUAACUACGUG
rnacentral:rRNA from 1 species